AUAUAUAUAUAUACUAAAACUUUAUAUUAUUUAAGACUUGGAUGUAAGUUUGCACUGUCUAACAUUUUAUGGUGAGUCAAAGUUUUAGGUUUGUGUUGCGUGCUGAAUGUGUCUGUUUUGUAUGGGGUGGUAAGAUCUGUGAGUGUGAGAGGGUAUGCUGACAUGCACGACUUAACAAAAGAGGAGUUGAGCUAUAGUAAUUUAUUCUUCACGUUUAUGUAAAUAAUUCACCGCUUCAUACAGUUUGAUGUCAUUGCUUUCCCACCAUGUUCCCCACAUUGCUGAAGUAUGUCACAAGAUUUAUAAUUCAAGCCUUCUUGGUGCAGACCUAAUGUAUUGUUUCUGUCACUAUAUACUUAUCUGUUAUGAGUGUGGUAUGAAGUUACUCAAAAUCAUCCUUCAUUUUUUUCCAGUUUUAUUUCCAGACACAUUAGAUAUUGGGUUGGUACUUGUUUGUCGAUGUAACAAUACCCCUUGAGAGGGCAGAGGCUGAUAUAUGAUUUUCGUUUUGUUUAUUUAGACUUUAAUUAUUAAGGAUGUGUGCAUGUUAGAUCCUGUUUGCUUUAUAUCUCUCUCUCUGUGUCUGUUUUAUCACAUUCUUACAUCUUCACUGUCAACUUGUAAGCUCUCAAUGUUGGAUCAGAAGAAAAAGAACAAUGAACUUCCUAUAUAUAUAUAUAUAUAUAUAAAUGGGCAUAUAUUUAUAUAUAUGCCCAUUUAUUUUAUUGACUGUAUGUAUCUGUAUUUGAUUUGGUCGCCUGGAGAAUGUGGUGUGUGUGACUCAGCAGUGGUUCCCAUUGGACUGUGAUCAAAUGAUCAUUCAAUCUUUUCCGUGGUGGAGCAUACAGCAGAGGAUCCCUUCUGUCAUGUGAUCAAGUGAUCGUUAUCCCCAUCCUGUUGGCCUCAUUGGAUUUUGGGGUCCUAAUUUUAGGGCACAGGCCAGGGAGCAAAAGCCACUGAAUCUCCAAUCAUCAUAGAGGAGGAUCGCUGGGAUCCACCGGAUUCAAUGGGAUCCACCGGAUUCAAUGGGAUCCACUGGAUUCAAUGGGAUCCACCGCAACGCUGCCUCUCCGGCUCAUUCUGCUCCCCUUACUUGUGACUGUGUUCCUUGUUGUUUGUGUUAAGAGUUAAUGAGAAGUGUGGGCUGAAGAAGGGCAUCCAGUGGCCCAUAUGAGAGCAGAAUAGAGGUGGGGGACUGUAGAUGUGUGUGUGUGUGUGUGUGUGUGUGUGUGUGUGUGUGUGUGUGUUUGUGCGUAUGUGUAGCCAGUGGGGAAUGAAAAAUAGGGUGGCAAGGGUUAGAUAUUGAUUUUAAAGUAUAUGCUGACAUGAACCAUGAAAAAAAAAUUAAAAAGCAACAAAACCAUACAAAAAUAUGCUUGCUUGCAAUUAUCCCAUGCUGUUAUUUAGGACAAUUGUUCACCUUAUAUAAAGUAAAAAAAAAGAAAAAGAAAGGGGUAGAAUAUCAAAUGGGAUUUUGUUUUUUUGUUGAUUCAAUUACUCUGCGCUCAGAGAUGAUGGCAGCUUUUGAAAUAGGUGUGAAACCUAUUUCAAAAUGUAUCCCCUCCUCAAGAACACCCCCUUAAAGUACGUAUAGAGUUUAAAAAAAAAAUUAUUGGUGUAUCUGAUAUCUAUGGUGAUUGUGCCUUUCACUACUCUGCGUGGUUUUUGCUGACUUUUCCAUCCCCAAUAUGGGCAGAAGCCCACAAGCAGUAAAGACCUAUGCAAACAAUAAGAGUGGGGUUCCAGCAUCCAUUCAGAAAUGCAGGUACCGGACAAAAAAAACAAACAAACAAAACAAUAAACUCUCAG
ensembl:lncRNA